rnacentral:rRNA from 1 species
GAUGAACGCUGACAGAAUGCUUAACACAUGCAAGUCUACUUGAAUUUGGGUUUUUUAACUUAGAUUUGGGUGGCGGACGGGUGAGUAACGCGUAAAGAACUUGCCUCACAGCUAGGGACAACAUUUGGAAACGAAUGCUAAUACCUGAUAUUAUGAUUUUAAGGCAUCUUAGAAUUAUGAAAGCUAUACGCGCUGUGAGAGAGCUUUGCGUCCCAUUAGCUAGUUGGAGAGGUAACGGCUCACCAAGGCGAUGAUGGGUAGCCGGCCUGAGAGGGUGAACGGCCACAAGGGGACUGAGACACGGCCCUUACUCCUACGGGAGGCAGCAGUGGGGAAUAUUGGACAAUGGACCAAGAGUCUGAUCCAGCAAUUCUGUGUGCACGAUGAAGUUUUUCGGAAUGUAAAGUGCUUUCAGUUGGGAAGAAAAAAAUGACGGUACCAACAGAAGAAGUGACGGCUAAAUACGUGCCAGCAGCCGCGGUAAUACGUAUGUCACAAGCGUUAUCCGGAUUUAUUGGGCGUAAAGCGCGUCUAGGUGGUUAUAUAAGUCUGAUGUGAAAAUGCAGGGCUCAACUCUGUAUUGCGUUGGAAACUGUGUAACUAGAGUACUGGAGAGGUAAGCGGAACUACAAGUGUAGAGGUGAAAUUCGUAGAUAUUUGUAGGAAUGCCGAUGGGGAAGCCAGCUUACUGGACAGAUACUGACGCUGAAGCGCGAAAGCGUGGGUAGCAAACAGG